rnacentral:siRNA from 1 species
UUACGUGAAUUUACUAGGAUGC